rnacentral:rRNA from 1 species
GUGAGGAAUAUUGGUCAAUGGGCGGGAGCCUGAACCAGCCAAGUCGCGUGAAGGAAGAAGGAUCUAUGGUUCGUAAACUUCUUUUGCAGGGGAAUAAAGUGCAGGACGUGUCCUGUUUUGUAUGUACCCUGAGAAUAAGGAUCGGCUAACUCCGUGCCAGCAGCCGCGGUAAUACGGAGGAUCCGAGCGUUAUCCGGAUUUAUUGGGUUUAAAGGGUGCGGAGGUGGUUUGAUAAGUCAGCGGUGAAAGUUUGCAGCUUAACUGUAAAAAUGCCGUUGAAACUGUCGGACUUGAGUGUAAAUGAGGUAGGCGGAAUGCGUGGUGUAGCGGUGAAAUGCAUAGAUAUCACGCAGAACUCCGAUUGCGAAGGCAGCUUACUAAGCUACAACUGACACUGAAGCACGAAAGCGUGGGGAUCAAACAGGAUUAGAUACCCCUGUAGUCC